rnacentral:rRNA from 1 species
AACGAACGCUGGCGGCAGGCUUAACACAUGCAAGUCGAGCGCCCCGCAAGGGGAGCGGCAGACGGGUGAGUAACGCGUGGGAACGUACCUUUUGGUUCGGAACAACUCCGGGAAACUGGAGCUAAUACCGGAUAAGCCCUAACGGGGAAAGAUUUAUCGCCGAAAGAUCGGCCCGCGUCUGAUUAGCUAGUUGGUGAGGUAACGGCUCACCAAGGCGACGAUCAGUAGCUGGUCUGAGGAUGAUCAGCCACACUGGGACUGAGACACGGCCCAGACUCCUACGGGAGGCAGCAGUGGGGAAUAUUGGACAAUGGGCGCAAGCCUGAUCCAGCCAUGCCGCGUGAGUGAUGAAGGCCUUAGGGUUGUAAAGCUCUUUUGUCCGGGAAGAUAAUGACUGUACCGGAAGAAUAAGCCCCGGCUAACUUCGUG